rnacentral:pre_miRNA from 1 species
UAUUGUGGAUGAGCAAAGAAGUGGUUUCUUGGAAUGGAAUCUACUCUUGGUGAAGGUACUGUGAA